AGGACGAACGCUGGCGGCGUGCAUAACACAUGCAAGUCAAGGGGGUCAGUAGCAAUACUGGCAACCGGCGAACGGGUGCGUAACACGUAAGCGACCUACCUCGGUGUGGGGCAUAGCCGGUCUAACGACCGGGUAAUUCCGCAUACGCUCUUGAGAGGGCAUACUCUUGAGAUGAAACCAGUAAUGGGC
rnacentral:rRNA from 1 species